rnacentral:rRNA from 1 species
GUCUUUUUGAUAAUAAUUUAAAGUCUAAUCUGCCCAAUGAAUUAUUAAAUGGCCGCAGUAUUUUGACUGUGCAAAGGUAGCAUAAUAAUUAGUUUUUUAAUUGAAAACUGGAAUGAAUGAUUGAACAAGAAAAAAUCUGUCUCAAUUUAAUUUAAUAUAGAAUUUUAUUUUUAAGUAAAAAAGCUUAAAUGUUUUUAAAAGACGAGAAGACCCUAUAGAGUUUAAUAUUAAUGUUUAUAUAAUAUUUAUAGAAAUUAUUUUAUUUUAUAUCAAUUAAUAUUUAAUUGGGGUGAUUGAAAAAUUAAAUAAACUUUUUUUAUUUAUGAAAUCAUUAAUUUAUGAUUAUUUGAUCCAUUAUUUAUGAUUAAAAGAUUAAAUUACCUUAGGGAUAACAGCGUAAUUUUUUUUUAGAGUUCAAAUCGAUAAAAAAGUUUACGACCUCGAUGUUGGAUUAAAA